GGUAUAUAUACAUUCCACACAGCUUAUCUUAAUUAACAUAAACUCGAUACAGCAGUCAACCAAUAAGGAAUCUCCACACUUAAUGGCUUGCUGGUGUUACUUCACAAACCACUCCCUCUGGCAAAAUGCCAGGCGCCAUCCAGACUUGUUUACAGACCUUAACACAGAUGUUCUCUGGGGUUUGAACAUAUAGCUAAAAAUGAUUCCAGCUCCUGUUUGAAGUUUUUAUACAUGUAUACAUACAUGCAUACAUAUAGUGUCCUGUCCCCUGCCCCUCUGCUGAUCUCUGAAUUUUCAGGAAUAUUUAGUUACUAUGGUUAUUUCUGAUCUCUUUGGUUUUUGUGUCUCCUCAUUGAUGCACUUCUCAUCAUAGUAUAAAAGGCCCUUGGCCUUUGUUUCCUUCUUCAAAGCAACUACAUAAGGCUGAUGUGUGCAGCACAAAUCUACCAGAUGUUUAUAGAUUAAAAGGGAAGGCAAACAUUAUCAAUGACAUAUCCUUGAUCUUAAAAGUACUUCUUGUACUGUGGGGGACCCAGAUAACCCAAAAGUUGCAGUAUUUAAUUAUCUCCUUUUCUCCCCUUUCUGAUUCCCUUCUUCCUCUCUUAAUUCUUACUUUUGAGAAAUAAUUCCCUUCUCAAGGAGAACAAUGCACUUGUUUUUUGCUACCUUGGUUUGUGCUGGAGGAGGUUACGGGCCUCCCUUUAUAGUACAAGCAAGGAAUCGAGGUAUUUCCCCAAAGACAUUUCCUUCAGGGAAUUUCGGUGUUAGCUGUUAGGAUAAUACUAUUUUUACUUUUUCAUAGGAAUAGUCUGGCAUUUGUUUCUCUCUUUCUUAUAAAUGUUAAAGAGGUAAUUUUUUCUUUUCCAAAUAAACAUCACCCUCCUUCUCCAUUAUAUAGUUCAUAAUAGUAAGUCCCCAGGCCUUGAAUUUUUGCUUACCUCUCAUCUGUGUGUGAAGUCUGUUCUCAACACAGUACUUGCCAAUGGUGACUCUGUCCUCUGUUUUCUACACCAGUGCUCUAAGUUGAUAAAAUUAUUUGGAAAGUUGCUUUGAUAACAUGUGUCUACUGAAAAACAGAAGAAGUUUUGUUCCUAGAGUUGUGAAAUUUCGAUCUGUGGCAUAGUCUUAGUCAAUUAAGAAGUAGAGGGCAUGCUUGGAAUCAG
rnacentral:lncRNA from 1 species